UCUCCUGUCGUACUUUUUCUCGUGUCCUUCUCCUGGAAUAAUCUUCUCUCCUUCCUCGUGUACUACAAUUGAGUUUCCUUUUCUUUUGUUUGCUUCUCUUGGAGAAAGGUGAACCCUCGUGUUACUGUUUUAUUUGAUCUUUGCUCUUAAUUGUAGUUUGUACCCUUGUGGUCCCUGAUGGCUUCGCACAGUGAUACUCUGGUGGUGUUCUUUGGGGCAACAGCUGGUGCAAAUGGGGGUAAACUGGGGUCGGAUGAAAGGGAAUUAAUUCUCUUGGUGUGGCAAAUUGUGGAUCUACAUGAGAAGAAGGUGGGCAAGCUUCAGCGGCGUCUAGUCAAGCCGGACAGUGUGGAUCUUACUGACCAGUGUAAGGAGGAGACCGGGCUCACGGCGGAGGAACUGUGUAAGGCCGAGCCGCUGGAGAGUGUCCUGCAGCAGUUUCAUCAAUCAGUGUCAACUGAACUGAAGUCUUUGGGCAGAAGCUCCUACACGCUGUGUGUGGACGGACCACUGCUUAUCCGACAGGUGCUGCACCCCGAGGCCUCCAAAAAGAAUCUGGUCUUGCUUGAGUGUUUCUACUCAUUCGUGGACUUGAAGAAAGAGUUUCACAAAUGCUGCCCCAACGCAGGCCCCGUCAAAGAUGUCACUCUGCCCUCCAUGCUGGACUAUGUGUGUAUUCCAGCAGUGGUGGAUCAGGAGGAGGCAGGACUGAGUGAGGUGAAGACAAUGGUUUUGCUAAUGCUUCACCUCCUCGCUGAGCCUUAUAAUCACAAAUUCUCCACUUUUGAGACCGUAAACUACAAAUUUGAAUCUGGAGCAUGCAGUAAGACAGAAGCUGUGGACUGUGAGACCAUCAUCAGAGCUCGUGGACUGCCAUGGCAGUCAUCUGAUCAGGACAUCGCUCGCUUCUUCAAGGGCCUCAACAUUGCCAAAGGCGGUGUUGCGCUGUGUCUAAAUGCACAGGGCCGGAGAAAUGGGGAGGCUCUGGUGCGCUUCAUAAACUCUGAGCACAGAGACAUGGCACUGGAUAGACACAAACACCACAUGGGCAGCAGAUACAUAGAGGUAUAUAAAGCCACAGGGGAGGAAUUUCUUAAGAUUGCUGGAGGCACAUCCAAUGAGGUAGCUCAGUUUCUUUCAAAGGAAAACCAGGUGAUUAUCCGAAUGCGGGGUCUUCCAUUCACUGCUACUCCUCAGGAUGUCCUGGGGUUCCUAGGCCCAGAGAGCCCUGUGACGGAUGGGACAGAAGGACUUCUGUUUGUGAAGUACCCUGAUGGACGUCCAACAGGUGAUGCUUUUGUUCUUUUUGCCUGUGAGGAAUACGCCCAGAACGCCCUAAAGAAGCACAAACAAAUCCUGGGCAAGAGAUAUAUCGAGCUGUUCCGCAGUACUGCAGCUGAAGUCCAACAGGUGUUGAAUCGUUACAUGUCCACUCCACUGAUCUCCACUCUGCCACCUCCUCCCUCUCCGAUGGUUUCUAUGCCGGUUCUAGCCAGCCCACCCUUCAUUACUACUGGCAGCAUGCGGGACUGCAUCAGGUUGAGAGGUCUGCCAUACACCGCUGCCAUCGAGGACAUUCUAGAGUUUAUGGCCGAACACACUAUUGAUAUCAAACCACAUGGAGUGCACAUGGUCCUGAACCAGCAGGGUCGUCCCUCCGGUGAUGCCUUCAUUCAGAUGAAGUCAGCUGACCGUGCGUUUAUGUUGGCUCAAAAGUGCCAUAAGAAGAUGAUGAAGGAUCGUUAUGUGGAGGUGUUCCAGUGCUCCACUGAGGAGAUGAGCUUCGUGCUGAUGGGGGGAACUCUUAACCGCAGCGGCCUGUCGCCUCCUCCCUGCAAACUGCCCUGUCUUUCUCCACCAACCUACGCUGCAUAUCCGGCAGCUGGAGCGAUGCUUCCCUCUGAAGCAGCGAUGUUUCAGCCCCCUCUGCUGGCCACUCCAAGAACUCCACAGCCCCCAACACACAGCCCUUUAGCCUACUAUUCUCCACCACCACAGCUUUACAUGAACAUGAAUUACACUGCCUACUACCCCAGUCCUCCAGUCUCGCCAUCCACUAUGAGUUAUUUUGUGGCCCCACCGGGUUCAAUAGCAGCUGCUCUGGCAGCCCAGACAGCCCCUUCCAUCCUGCCUCCUCAGCCCGGAGCAUUGGUGCGAAUGCAGGGCCUGCCGUACAACACCGGGGUCAAAGACAUCCUCAGCUUCUUUCAGGGAUAUCAGCUGACACCUGAUUAGGGGGAGUCUUCAGAAGACGUACGGUCCUGAAGACUACAGCAGCUUGGUUGGAGUGAAUGAUCAGGGCCAGAGUCUCUUUCAGCCUAAAGAGUGGCUGUGUCUGUAAGGGGAGCUCCUGCAGCUCCAGGCGGACUCUGUGAUCAUGCUGUAUAAUUGGAGUGGUCAGCGUAGUGGGGAGGCUCUGGUGACCUUCCCAAGUGAGAAGGCAGCAAGACGGGCCGUGGUUGAACGCUCCAACCUUCCCCUCUCCGGCCACCCCAUCCGCCUGGUCUGCUGCGAGUGACCAAACACGGACCGCCACACCCACCGAGGGAGGACCGCACUUCACCUGUCUCACCUCUUUCUCCCUCAUUACCUGUCUUAUGGCUUUUUGGACCGUUUUCCCUCUGCUCUUGGCUGAAGGUUGUAGUUUAGGAGGGGACCUGACACAGAAACACUAUGUAUAUGUUUAUGUAUAUGUUAAACCCAUGACAGCAAAGUAACAGUGCCUUGCUGCUUGUGUAAAUGUGAGUAUUUGUGAGAGAGCAUUGGCAUGCAUGUUAACUUCUGUUCCUUUGUGUGUCUUUUGAUUAAGAACUCUUUAUUCUAUUUCAGACUUUAUAUUAAUCUAUAGUAAUGCCUUCAGUUUAUACAACGAAAACUUCAGCAGGAAUUGUUCAUUUUGGUGCAACACCACAACAUUUAUCUUGCAUACUGAUAUCAUUCCUGAAACACUAUGCCAUGUAGUCCAGUAAACUAAUGUUAUGCCAUAGUCUUUACCUUGCACUAGGGACACUACAAAAAAGUAUUUUUGUCUUGUUGUCCUGUAAAAUUAUCAAAACAUUCUUAAAACGUGAAUUAUUUACUUGUUAAGCUUAAUGGAAUAAGAUAUUAAGUCUUGUUUAAUACAUAUGACAAAAUGAAUGAACUUUAGAUGUAAAACAAGAAAAAAAAUCUGCCAAUGAGGUGGGCAAAAUAAAAGUAUUUUCCCUUUUUCUUCCCCUUUGGCAAACAGUUUUUUAUUUUUUUAAGCAUACAUCUCACUAAAUUAGAUUUCUCUGAAAACAAGACUUCAAAUCUUAUGCCAGUGUGCUUGUCAAGUAAAUAAAUCACGUUUUAAGAAUGUUUAGAUAUAUUUACUGGAAAACAAGACAAAAAUACUUUUUGCACUGGAACCGCAUGAAUGCUGUUUAUUGCCAUUUAAGAAAAACUAUGACUUAUUCAGCUGAAUUUAAAGUGCAGUGGGAUUCCAAGUAAAGACUACAACUAUUGUUGCAUGUAGAAUUAAAAAGGGCAUGAUGGUUUUCCUAGAGCAGAUGUGCACUGUUGGAAGGAAACAGCCUUAAAACAUAAAUGUGUACUCCCUAGAAUUGCAUGAACUGAUUUUUAGUUUCAUCCGUUCAGAAAGGGAAUUUUUUUUAUUUAAGUAAAAUGAGUUGUUUGUGUGAUCUGCAUGCUUUCAUGCUCGUUCUUUAUAGAUUGAAUUGACAAUUUGGCCACAUUAGAGAUUAUGUGCAAAUAUGCCAUGGUCUCACCUUGUUUUUUGACUCCCAAGAAAAUGCAGGCUACUUCAGUUCUUUUCUACUGAUAGCAGGCUGCUAGGAUCAUGUGCAUUUUUUUUUUAUUUCAUGACUACAUAUUACCCAGAGUGCAAUACAGGCUAAACAAAUGGCACACCUCCCUAGUGUAAGAGGGGGCAUUUUUCCUUUCUUUCUAAAAUGUAUGAAUUGUGUAUGUAUGUGAAUAUGUGACUCUUAUAUGCAACAAAUAAAUUGAUAUUGCUCUGACAUAACCAUGUACCAUAACCAAGUGGUACAUUCAUUUUAUUUAAGUCUUUGUCUUUUAUAUUUUGUCGAGAGUUGUCAUUUUCACUAUGACACAGCACUCUGAUAUGCAUGAUUCUGAUUGGUCAACCUGUGGCCUGAUUGGCUUUCUGUGGUCAAAUAUUUUUGAAUAAUGGAUGUCCCAAAUGAAUCUACAUGCUCUGCUAGUUUUUG